UAGAGAAAAAGAAGAAAAUAUGAAAAGGUUGGUGGAUGGUCUGUAUGUGUUUUGUUUUUUUUUGUUUUGCUUUUUU
rnacentral:ribozyme from 1 species